GCGGCGUACGGGUGCGGAACACGUGUGCACUGACCUUUAUCUGGGGGAUAGCCUUUCGAAAGGAAGAUUAAUACCCCAUAAUAUGUUGAAUGGCAUCAUUCGACAUUGAAAACUCCGGUGGAUAGAGAUGGGCACGCGCAAGAUUAGAUAGUUGGUGAGGUAACGGCUCACCAAGUCUACGAUCUUUAGGGGGCCUGAGAGGGUGAUCCCCCAACUGGUACUGAGACACGGACCAGACUCCUACGGGAGGCAGCAGUGAGGAAUAUUGGACAAUGGGUGAGAGCCUGAUCCAGCCAUCCCGCGUGAAGGACGGUGCCUAUGGGUUGUAAACUUCUUUUGUAUAGGGAUAAACCUACCCUCGUGAGGGUAGCUGAAGGUACUAUACGAAUAAGCACCGGCUAACUCCGUGCCAGCAGCCGCGGUAAUACGGAGAGUGCAAGCGUCAUCCGGAUUUAUCGGGUUUAAAGGGUCCGUAGCGGAUCUGUAAGUCAGUGGUGAAAUCUCACAGGUUUAACUGUGAAACUGCAUUGAUACUGCAGGUCUUGAAGUGUGUGAAGUAGCUGGAUUAAGUAGUGCAGCGGUGGAAAUGGCUUAGGAUUU
rnacentral:rRNA from 1 species